rnacentral:sRNA from 1 species
GUGCAGAGUUAUUUGGAGCGAACUGC